rnacentral:misc_RNA from 1 species
AAGUCGUAACAAGGUUUCCGUAGGUGAACCUGCGGAAGGAUCAUUAUCCAAACGUUAACCCCCCUGUGAACCUUUAGUGUGCUCGUACGCUUUGUCAGAGCGCGGCAAUCCCUAGUAAAUCAUCGCCGAACAGUUUUCGAUUUAGGGGGUGUCUGAAAGUGUCACUGGCUGUGUAAGGAUGGCGCAGUCACGAUCGUUGGAGGCCGACACGGCCGACGACCGGGUCACCCCCUUAAUCACAACUUAAUGCAUGUCAGACGCGCCUGCGCUUAAUUGUGCGGACCAUAAAACUCGAACAACUGUUAACAAUGGAUACCUUG